ACCAAACAUGAUUAAAUACAAUGAUAUAACUUUUUAAACUGAGGAUGUACAUGCAGGACAUAUCGUUAAGGAAUUCUUCGUUUAUGAUUGUGGU
rnacentral:snoRNA from 1 species